rnacentral:rRNA from 1 species
CAGGCUUAACACAUGCAAGUCGAGGGGCAGCAUGGUCUUAGCUUGCUAAGGCCGAUGGCGACCGGCGCACGGGUGAGUAACGCGUAUCCAACCUGCCUUACACUCUUGGACAGCCUUCUGAAAGGGAGAUUAAUACAAGAUGUUAUCAUGAGUAAGCAUUUUCGCAUGAUUAAAGGUUUACCGGUGUAAGAUGGGGAUGCGUUCCAUUAGAUAGUAGGCGGGGUAACGGCCCACCUAGUCUUCGAUGGAUAGGGGUUCUGAGAGGAAGGUCCCCCACAUUGGAACUGAGACACGGUCCAAACUCCUACGGGAGGCAGCAGUGAGGAAUAUUGGUCAAUGGACGAGAGUCUGAACCAGCCAAGUAGCGUGAAGGAUGAAGGUUCUAUGGAUUGUAAACUUCUUUUAUACGGGAGUAAACGAAUCCACGCGUGGAUUUUUGCAUGUACCGUAUGAAUAAGGAUCGGCUAACUCCGUGCCAGCAGCCGCGGUAAUACGGAGGAUCCGAGCGUUAUCCGGAUUUAUUGGGUUUAAAGGGAGCGUAGAUGGGUUGUUAAGUCAGUUGUGAAAGUUUGCGGCUCAACCGUAAAAUUGCAAUUGAUACUGGCAGUCUUGAGUACAGUUGAGGUAGGCGGAAUUCGUGGUGUAGCGGUGAAAUGCUUAGAUAUCACGAAGAACUCCGAUUGCGAAGGCAGCUUACUAACCUGUAACUGACAUUGAUGCUCGAAAGUGUGGGUAUCAAACAGGAUUAGAUACCCUGGUAGUCCACACGGUAAACGAUGAAUACUCGCUGUAGGCGAUAUACAGUCUGCGGCCAAGCGAAAGCAUUAAGUAUUCCACCUGGGGAGUACGCCGGCAACGGUGAAACUCAAAGGAAUUGACGGGGGCCCGCACAAGCGGAGGAACAUGUGGUUUAAUUCGAUGAUACGCGAGGAACCUUACCCGGGCUUAAAUUGCAACCGAAUAUGGCGGAAACGCUAUAGCUAGCAAUAGCGGUUGUGAAGGUGCUGCAUGGUUGUCGUCAGCUCGUGCCGUGAGGUGUCGGCUUAAGUGCCAUAACGAGCGCAACCCUUGCCGAUAGUUACUAACAGGUUAUGCUGAGGACUCUGUCGGGACUGCCAUCGUAAGAUGUGAGGAAGGUGGGGAUGACGUCAAAUCAGCACGGCCCUUACGUCCGGGGCUACACACGUGUUACAAUGGGGGGUACAGAGGGCUGCUACCACGCAAGUGGAUGCCAAUCCCAAAAACCUCUCUCAGUUCGGAUUGAAGUCUGCAACCCGACUUCAUGAAGCUGGAUUCGCUAGUAAUCGCGCAUCAGCCACGGCGCGGUGAAUACGUUCCCGGGCCUUGUACACACCGCCCGUCAAGCCAUGGGAGCCGGGGGUACCUGAAGUGCGUAACCGCAAGGAGCGCCCUAGGGUAAAACUGGUGACUGGGGCUAAG